ACCCCCCACCCCCCCCAGAAGCACUCGCUGAGCUGUUUGCCUUCAGCAAGCCCUGAAAUCAGCCCAGAGGAAGGCCGCCACCCGGUGUCCUGCCUCGCGUUUGUCCGUUUUAGGGUGGUUUUUGUGGUUUUUUUUGUUAUUUUUUUUCGUGAUCGCCCCGCAGGAAAACCCUCUCGUGGUGCCCAGCCGUGUGUCGCGGGAGGGGGGGCUCCGGGCCCUUAACGGGGGCACAGAGCCGUGUCGGUGGGCGCAGAGGGGAGGAUUUGGCCACCUUCGGGUUCUCCUGCGGGAUUGGGGGGGGGGUCCGGACCCCCAUUUUUGGGCGUCUCCGACGGCGCCAGGGUUAUCCCAAGGGCUUGGCUGCUGGGUUGGCUCCGCAGACGGUCCCCCGGGCUAACCGGGACACGGUUCCGGAUCGGUCCCCGAGGCGUUCGGGGAGGAAAACGGGGCUGCUCUGCUCCGUCUGUGCCUGCCCUAAACCACCCCGACCCCCCCCCAACGGGCCGUAGCUUCCCUAGCCCCCCCCUUCCUCGUGCCAUCCUGCGCGGCGCUGGGGCAGGGAGCCGGGGCCGGGGGCGCUCAGCUCCGUUCUUCCCUUCCAGUGAUCAACAAAUACAAGCGGCGGCGCUUCCAGAAGACCAAGAACCUCCUGACGGGCGAGACGGAGGCCGACCCGGAGAUGAUCAAGGUAGGGGGCUGCUUCCUCGCUUUUUUUUACCCCCCCUCAACCCCCGUGGGCUUCGCCCCGGCGCCCUCCCGCUGAGCGGGGCGCCGCCGGGCGGCCGCCUUCUCCUCGCAGAGGGCGGAGGAUUACGGCCCCGUGGAGGUGAUCUCGCACUGGCACCCCAACCUGACCAUCAACAUGGUGGACGACCACACGCCCUGGGUGAAGGGCAGCGUCCCGCCGCCCCUGGACCAGUACGUGAAGUUCGACGCCAUCAGCGGCGACUACUACCCCAUCCUCUACUUCAACGACUACUGGAACCUGCAGAAGGAUUACUUCCCCAUCAACGAGACCCUGCAGCGCCUGCCCUUCCGCCUCUCCUUCUGCCCGCUCUCCCUGUGGCGCUGGCAGCUCUACGCCGCCCAGAGCACCAAGUCGCCCUGGAAUUUCCUCGGGGAGGACCUCUACGAGCAGUCGGACGAGGAGCAGGACUCGGUGAAGGUGAGAGCCGGCCUCGGGCCGCCCCGCUCCCCGCCACGCUGUCCCUGCUCGUGGCCCGGCACCCCGGCUCCUUGCCCCGCGCGCGCGCGGCGGCGGCGUCCCCCCCACCCCGGGGCUCCGAUUUUCAGGGAUUUUUUAAUUCCGCGUCGGACACGAGGCGGAGAUUCGCCGCUCUGGGGGUGGCGGGACCCCCACCCGGCCGCCCGGAGCGGGUUGGGGUGCCCCCAAAGCAGCUCGGACGGGGAUUUGGGCAGCCUGGUCUGGUCCUUACGCGCGUCGGGACCCCAACAGCUCAAAACGGGGACGGGGGGGUGUGCAGGGACCCCCCCACGCUGCCCUUCUGGCCGAUAGAGGCUGGGAGACCACGGCCCAAUUCCACCCCUUGGUGCCUCCCCGA
rnacentral:lncRNA from 1 species